GACUGAACGCCUCUAAGUCAGAAGCCAUGCUAGGAGCGAUGCCAUCUGUCCCGGAGAUCGUCACCCGACUAGUUAUAGGCUUCGGCCCUGUAGCAUACCUUCAUCACAAUUCCAUGCGUUCUCUGGGGUAAAUCCUUUGCAGACGACUUAAUUCGAAUGGGGUAUUGUAAGCAGUAGAGUGGCCUUGCUGCUACGAUCUGCUGAGAUUCAGCCCUUAUUCGUAAGAUUU
rnacentral:rRNA from 1 species